UACGUAGGCAGCAAGCGUUGUUCGGAGUUACUGGGCGUAAAGGGUGUGUAGGCGGUUGUUUAAGUUUGGUGUGAAAUCUCCCGGCUCAACUGGGAGGGUGCGCCGAAUACUGAAUGACUAGAGUGCGGGAGAGGAAAGUGGAAUUCCUGGUGUAGCGGUGAAAUGCGUAGAUAUCUGGAGGAACACCGGUGGCGAAGGCGGCAUCCUGGACCGAUAUUGACGCUGAUGCGCGAAAGCCAGGGGAGCAAACGGG
rnacentral:rRNA from 1 species